AUUGAACGCUGGCGGCAGGCCUAACACAUGCAAGUCGGACGGUAGCACAGAGGAGCUUGCUCCUCGGGUGACGAGUGGCGGACGGGUGAGUAAUGUCUGGGGAUCUGCCCGAUAGAGGGGGAUAACCACUGGAAACGGUGGCUAAUACCGCAUAACGUCGCAAGGCCAAAGAGGGGGACCUUCGGGCCUCUCACUAUCGGAUGAACCCAGAUGGGAUUAGCUAGUAGGCGGGGUAACGGCCCACCUAGGCGACGAUCCCUAGCUGGUCUGAGAGGAUGACCAGCCACACUGGAACUGAGACACGGUCCAGCCUCCUACGGGAGGCAGCAGUGGGGAAUAGUGCACAAUGGGCGCAAGCCUGAUGCAGCCAUGCCGCGUGUAUGAAGAAGGCCUUCGGGUUGUAAAGUACUUUCAGCGGGGAGGAAGGCGAUGUGGUUAAUAACCGCGUCGAUUGACGUUACCCGCAGAAGAAGCACCGGCUGACUCCGUGCCAGCCGCCGCCGUAA
rnacentral:rRNA from 1 species